GUGGGGAAUAUUGGACAAUGGGGGGAACCCUGAUCCAGCCAUGCCGCGUGUGUGAAGAAGGCCUUUUGGUUGUAAAGCACUUUAAGCGAGGAGGAGGCUACUCUAGUUAAUACCUAGGGAUAGUGGACGUUACUCGCAGAAUAAGCACCGGCUAACUCUGUGCCAGCAGCCGCGGUAAUACAGAGGGUGCGAGCGUUAAGCGGAUUUACUGGGCGUAAAGCGUGCGUAGGCGGCUUUUUAAGUCGGAUGUGAAAUCCCUGAGCUUAACUUAGGAAUUGCAUUCGAUACUGGGAAGCUAGAGUAUGGGAGAGGAUGGUAGAAUUCCAGGUGUAGCGGUGAAAUGCGUAGAGAUCUGGAGGAAUACCGAUGGCGAAGGCAGCCAUCUGGCCUAAUACUGACGCUGAGGUACGAAAGCAUGGGGAGCAAACAGGAUUAGAAACCCGUGUAGUCC
rnacentral:rRNA from 1 species